UGGGGAAUAUUGGACAAUGGGCGAAAGCCUGAUCCAGCGACGCCGCGUGUGUGAAGAAGGCCUGCGGGUUGUAAAGCACUUUCGAUGGGAACGAAAUGUGCCGGGCUAAUACCCCGGCAAGCUGACGUUACCCAAUGAAGAAGCACCGGCUAACUCUGUGCCAGCAGCCGCGGUAAUACAGAGGGUGCGAGCGUUAAUCGGAAUUACUGGGCGUAAAGCGCACGUAGGUGGCGACGUAAGUCGGGUGUGAAAGCCCCGGGCUCAACCUGGGAAUUGCAUUCGAGACUGCAUUGCUGGAGUACGGAAGAGGAGGGCGGAAUUCCCGGUGUAGCGGUGAAAUGCGUAGAUAUCGGGAGGAACAUCAGUGGCGAAGGCGGCCCUCUGGUCCAGUACUGACACUCAAGUGCGAAAGCGUGGGGAGCAA
rnacentral:rRNA from 1 species